rnacentral:rRNA from 1 species
GACGAACGCUGGCGGCAUGCUUUACACAUGCAAGUCGGACGAGUGGCGAACGGGUGAGUAACGCAUCUGACCGUACCGAGAAAUGGGGGAUAAAUGUCCGAAAGGACAGUAAAUACCGCAUAUUAUUCGAGCGGCCGAUGUCGGAUUAGCUGGUUGGCGGGGUAAAGGCCCACAAAGGCGACGAGCAGUAGUGGGUAUGAGAGGAUGAGCCGCAACAGUGGGACUGAGACACGGACCCGACUCAUACGGGAGGAAGCAGUGGGGAAUUUUGGACAAUGGGCGAAAGCCUGAUGGAGCCAUGCCGCGUGUCUGAAGAAGGGCUUCGGGUUGUAAAGGACUUUUGUCAGGGAAGCGGUACCUGAAGAAUAAGCACCGGCUAACUACGUGCCAGCAGCCGCGGUAAUAC